UCAUGCACUAAAUAGGGAGCAUCCUAUAUCUCUCUAUAACUGUUCUGAGACCAGUGCAGACAGACAGCACACUGGAGGUUAAGUCAUGCACUAAAUAGGGAGCAUCCUAUAUCUCUCUAUAACUGUUCUGAGACCAGUGCAGACAGACAGCACACUGGAGGUUAAGUCAUGCACUAAAUAGGGAGCAUCCUAUAUCUCUCUAUAACUGUUCUGAGACCAGUGCAGACAGACAGCACACUGGAGGUUAAGUCAUGCACUAAAUAGGGAGCAUCCUAUAUCUCUCUAUAACUGUUCUGAGACCAGUGCAGACAGACAGCACACUGGAGGUUAAGUCAUGCACUAAAUAGGGAGCAUCCUAUAUCUCUCUAUAACUGUUCUGAGACCAGUGCAGACAGACAGCACACUGGAGGUUAAGUCAUGCACUAAAUAGGGAGCAAGGGAGCGUCCUAUAGCUCUCCUAUAACUGUUCUGAGACCAGUGCAGACAGACAGCACACUGGAGGUUAAGUCAUGCACUAAAUAGGGACCAAGGGAGCAUCCUAUAGCUCUCCUAUAACUGUUCUGAGACCAGUGCAGACAGACAGCACACUGGAGGUUAAGUCAUGCACUAAAUAGGGAGCAAGGGAGCAUCCUAUAGCUCUCCUAUAACUGUUCUGAGACCAGUGCAGACAGACAGCACACUGGAGGUUAAGUCAUGCACUAAAUAGGGAGCAAGGGAGCAUCCUAUAGCUCUCCUAUAACUGUUCUGAGACCAGUGCAGACAGACAGCACACUGGAGGUUAAGUCAUGCACUAAAUAGGGAGCAAGGGAGCAUCCUAUAGCUCUCUAUAACUGUUCUGAGACCAGUGCAGACAGACAGCACACUGGAGGUUAAGUCAUGCACUAAAUAGGGAGCAAGGGAGCAUCCUAUAGCUCUCUAUAACUGUUCUGAGACCAGUGCAGACAG